AUUUAAAUUGUUAUUAUAAUUUUUUUUAUUUAUUUUUAAUUGAAAUAUUAUUUAUUUUAUUAUUUUUUUGAAAAAAUUAUUUUAUAAUAGUUUAUUAGUAUUGAAAUAGAAUUAAUAUUUGUUUUUAUAAGAAAAAUUUAUUUUUUGUACCUUGUGUAUCAGGGUGUAUUAAUUUACUAUAAAAUAUUUUGUUUUCCCGAAUCUAGAAGAGCUAUUAGUAAUUUAAUUUUAAUGUAGAAUAAUUAUUUAAAAUUUACUUAUAGAAAUGAAACGUUAUUCGUUUCUAGAUAUAUCUGGUUUUCUAAGAAAUUAAUUUAAUUUAGUUUGUAUUAAUUGAUUUUAUUAUUUUUAAUUUUUUCAUUUGUAUAUUCUAAUAUCUUGGGGGAUAAGCUUUUAGAUAAAUUUUUAUAAUUUUUAUAUUUUUUAAUUUUUGUAGGAUUAGAAUUUUCCAUUUUAUUAAAUUAUGUUACAAUUUAUUUUUAAUUUAUAUGAUUUUAUUUUUUUUAAAUUUUUAUUAGAAAUUUAUUUUAAUUUUUAUUUUUUUGUUAUAAUGAUUUAAUUAGUAUAUUUUUAUUUUAAUUUUAUUAUUAAUUUUAAAUGUGAAGAAAAGGAAUUCGGCAAAUUAAAUUUUCACCUGUUUAGUAAAAACAUGGCCUUUUGUUUAAGAUUUAAGGUCUGACCUGCCCAAUGAUUAUUUGAAUGGCCGCAGUAUUCUGACUGUGCAAAGGUAGCAUAAUCAUUAGUUUCUUAAUUGGAAUCUGGAAUGAACGGUUUGAUGAAAAAUUUACUGUCUUUUUUUUAUUAUUAUUGAAUUUUAUUUUUUAGUUAAAAAGCUAAAAUUUUAUAUAAAGACGAGAAGACCCUAUAGAGUUUUAUUUAUAAUAAUUAUUAAUUUAUAGGUUUUAUUUUUUAAUUUUUAUAUUUUUUGUUGGGGUGAUGUGAAAAUUUAAUUAACUUUUUAUUUUUUAAACAAAAAUUUUUGAAUUUUUGAUCCUUUAUUUGGAUUAUAAGACUAAAUUACCUUAGGGAUAACAGCGUAAUUUUUUUUGAAAGUUCUUAUUGAUAAAAAAGUUUGCGACCUCGAUGUUGGAUUAAAAUUAAUUUUCGGUGUAGAAGCUGAAUUAUUAGGUCUGUUCGACCUUUAAAAUUUUACAUGAUCUGAGUUUAAACCGGUUUGAGCCAGGUUGGUUUCUAUCUUUUAUUUUUAUAAAAUAUUUUAGUACGAAAGGACCAUUUAUUUAAAUAAAAUUUUAUUUUUGAAUAUUAUU
rnacentral:rRNA from 1 species